CGCGUAGGCGGCUUUUCAAGUCAGAUGUGAAAGUCCGCGGCUCAACCGUGGAAGUGCAUUUGAAACUGUAAGGCUUGAGUACUGGAGGGGGUAGUGGAAUUCCCGGUGUAGAGGUGAAAUUCGUAGAUAUCGGGAGGAAUACCGGUGGCGAAGGCGACUGCCUGGCCAGAUACUGACGCUGAGGUGCGAAAGCGUGGGGAGCAAACA
rnacentral:rRNA from 1 species